CCUACGGGCGGCAGCAGUGGGGAAUAUUGCACAAUGGGGGAAACCCUGAUGCAGCGACGCCGCGUGAGCGAUGAAGUAUUUCGGUAUGUAAAGCUCUAUCAGCAGGGAAGAAAAUGACGGUACCUGACUAAGAAGCACCGGCUAAAUACGUGCCAGCAGCCGCGGUAAUACGUAUGGUGCAAGCGUUAUCCGGAUUUACUGGGUGUAAAGGGAGCGUAGACGGAGUGGCAAGUCUGAUGUGAAAGGCUGGGGCUUAACCCCAGGACUGCAUUGGAAACUGUUUUUCUUGAGUGCCGGAGAGGUAAGCGGAAUUCCUAGUGUAGCGGUGAAAUGCGUAGAUAUUAGGAGGAACACCAGCGGCGAAGGCGGCUUACUGGACGGUAACUGACGUUGAGGCUCGAAAGCGUGGGGAGCAAACAGGAUU
rnacentral:rRNA from 1 species